rnacentral:lncRNA from 1 species
CAAUCCCCACAGAUAAGGAAAGAGAGAGGAAGCCUCAACAUGGAAAAACUCUACCAUGACAAUGAAGGAAAGCCUGUGAACCAAGGAAAGGGAAAAUGAAGAACAAGCACAGGAGGAAGGAAACCUGGAAGCAGCUUGUACCCUGGAAAACCAGGAAAAAUUAGAAAAUGAUGGAAAGAUAGAAAACAAGAGAAAGGCGGAAGAUGAGGAAAAUGCUAAAGAAUAAGGAGAAGCCAGAGAGCAAAGGAAAGCCAAAAGGAGGAGAGUCAGAGGGGGAAACAAAGGCUGCAGGGAAGCCCCCCACUGAGGACAUUGUACCCAGGAAAGCCAAAAGAAAGCCAACCGGGGGCUGGCUCAUGCCUCAAGGAAUAUAAGAAGGCCAUACAUGAUAUGCAUUUGAGCAAUGGGAAGAUGAUCAGAGAAUUUGAUGAGAUGGCUAGGGUGGAGGAUGAGGUGAAAAAAAUCAGACAAAUAUUGGGGGUAGGCCUUAUGUCGGUGUAAAGAAGUUUAUAGAACCCCUUCCACCUGAAAAACCCAAGAGAACUCAGCAUGGCUGUGAGGUCCUACAAAGGGGAAUUGAGGACACUU